GUUGAAACACCAGUUCCCGUACGAUCAUCGAAGUUAAGCAACGUCGAGCCUGAUCAGUACCUAGAUGGGUGACCGCUUGGGAAUACCAGGUACAGUA